rnacentral:rRNA from 1 species
AAUACUUAGGAAUCUGCCUAUUAAUGGGGGACAACGUUUCGAAAGGGACGCUAAUACCGCAUACGCCCUACGGGGGAAAGCAGGGGAUCGAAAGACCUUGCGUUAAUAGAUGAGCCUAAGUCAGAUUAGCUAGUUGGUGGGGUAAAAGCCUACCAAGGCGACGAUCUGUAGCGGGUCUGAGAGGAUGAUCCGCCACACUGGGACUGAGACACGGCCCAGACUCCUACGGGAGGCAGCAGUGGGGAAUAUUGGACAAUGGGGGGAACCCUGAUCCAGCCAUGCCGCGUGUGUGAAGAAGGCAUUUUUGUUGUAAAGCACUUUAAGUGGGGAGGAGGCUCUUUUAGUUAAUAACUAGGAUGAGUGGACGUUACCCACAGAAUAAGCACCGGCUAACUCUGUGCCAGCAGCCGCGGUAAUACAGAGGGUGCGAGCGUUAAUCGGAUUUACUGGGCGUAAAGCGUGCGUAGGCGGCUUAUUAAGUUGGAUGUGAAAUCCCCGAGCUUAACUUGGGAAUUGCAUUCAAGACUGGUAGGCUAGAGUAUGGGAGAGGAUGGUAGAAUUCCAGGUGUAGCGGUGAAAUGCGUAGAUAUUCGGAGG